GCGUCUUCCCCAUUCAGAGGUGUGGGGAAGCCUAUCGACAGCUUUGGACAGAACAACUUACUGGCUGCAGGGAAUUCGUCGCCGCCAUCAGGUUAUGUUUACAUAGAGGAACUGGCCAGGUUCUCUCUUUCUCUGUCUGGAGAUGAAUGAUGGUGAGUUGAAUUACUACGGCUAGGAGCCUACCAUCCACGCAGCAUCCACUGAACAGCCGUCCUACUGGUCUGGUAGGAAGGUUGUCUGCAGCCUGUCCCCCACACACUUCUCCAUAGACUAGCGCUUCCCCCAUAUGCACAUCCUUUCCCUUGAUGAACAAUAACCUAUGGACUUAUCAAUAUAAACUCUCAUAAAACCCUUGUGGGUUGUCGCGUUGGUCUUGAAGAAACCAAACGUCACUGGGACAGUUUUUUUUUCCCCCUUUUUUUUUCUUGUGUGUGGUAUUUGCUGUAAUUUCUAUUAUCAUAUCUUACUUGAACAAUAACCUCAGAGUGCACUCAAUUAUAACUGGUUCAACUGCAGUCUGUAAAUAUUUUGGGUUUUUCCUGUUUUUUUUUUUCCCUUCAUUAUUUUUGGUUGUAAAUAUUUUGUUUAAUCACUUUUCAAUACAUGGUACCUGCACCAAAUUUAAAUUCAUGUUUCUGUGUUGUUACUGACCACCAGCUCCUGUAGCCGAAUUUAGACUUCUGUGAUUUAACUAGCCUGUAUUGUUUAUUUCCAUAGCUACCUAUUCAACUUAUUAUAGCUAAUAUUAAUGACAUUAAUUUUGGCUAGUAAGUCUCAAAGACCCGUUAUAUUUACAUGAGGAUAAGACAUGUGUUCUGUGUAAUCCAGUCACUGAGGGGAAAAAGGAUCCUUCAAAUGAUAAAGUGUUUUAUAAACUUAUGUGAGAAGUUUUUAUGUCA